AUUGAACGCUGGCGGCAGGCCUAACGCAUGCAAGUCGAACGGUAGCACAGAGAGCUUGCUCUCGGGUGACGAGUGGCGGACGGGUGAGUAACGUCUGGGAAACUGCCCGAUGGAGGGGGAUAACUACUGGAAACGGUAGCUAAUACCGCAUAACGUCGCAAGACCAAAGUGGGGGACCUUCGGGCCUCACACCAUCGGAUGUGCCCAGAUGGGAUUAGCUAGUAGGUGGGGUAAUGGCUCACCUAGGCGACGAUCCCUAGCUGGUCUGAGAGGAUGACCAGCCACACUGGAACUGAGACACGGUCCAGGCUCCUACGGGAGGCAGCAGUGGGGAAUAUUGCACAUUGGGCGCAAGCCUGAUGCAGCCAUGCCGCGUGUAUGAAGAGGGCCUUCUGGUUGUAAAGUACUUUCAGCGGGGAGGAAGGCGGUGAAGUUAAUAGCUUCACCGAUUGGCGUUACCCGCAGAAGAAGCACCGGCUAACUCCGUGCCAGCCGCCGCGGUAA
rnacentral:rRNA from 1 species